UACGUAGGGUGCAAGCGUUGUCCGGAAUUAUUGGGCGUAAAGAGCUCGUAGGCGGCUUGUCGCGUCGACUGUGAAAUCCCGCGGCUCAACUGCGGGUCUGCAGUCGAUACGGGCAGGCUAGAGUUCGGUAGGGGAGACUGGAAUUCCUGGUGUAGCGGUGAAAUGCGCAGAUAUCAGGAGGAACACCGAUGGCGAAGGCAGGUCUCUGGGCCGAUACUGACGCUGAGGAGCGAAAAGCGUGGGGGAGCGAAACAGG
rnacentral:rRNA from 1 species